UUAAAUUGAAGAGUUUGAUCAUGGCUCAGAUUGAACGCUGGCGGCAGGCCUAACACAUGCAAGUCGGACGGUAGCACAGAGAGCUUGCUCUUGGGUGA
rnacentral:rRNA from 1 species